GGCAGCCCUUAUACAUGCAAGUCGAACGAGAAAGUUCCUUCGGGAGCGAGUAAAGUGGCGGACGGGUGAGUAACGCGUAGGAAUCUACCUUUCAGUGGGGGAUAGCUCGGGGAAACUCGAAUUAAUACCGCAUACACCCUUCGGGGGAAAGGGGGCCUCUCCUUGGAAGCUCUCGCUGUUAGAUGAGCCUGCGUGAGAUUAGCUUGUUGGUAAGGUAAUGGCUUACCAAGGCUACGAUCUCUAGCUGGUCUGAGAGGACGAUCAGCCACACUGGGACUGAGACACGGCCCAGACUCCUACGGGAGGCAGCAGUAGGGAAUAUUGGACAAUGGGGGCAACCCUGAUCCAGGCAUGCCGCGUGUGUGAAGAAGGCCUUAGGGUUGUAAAGCACUUUAAGUGAGGAAGAAAAGAUUUAAAUUAAUACUUUAAAUCCCUGACAUUACUCACAGAAUAAGGACCGGCUAACUCCGUGCCAGCAGCCGCGGUAAUACGGAGGGUCCAAGCGUUAAUCGGAAUUACUGGGCGUAAAGCGCGCGUAGAUGGUUUAUUCAGUUGGGUGUGAAAUCCCUGGGCUCAACCUAGGAACUGCAUUCAAAACUUAUAAACUAGAGUACGAAAGAGGAGAGUAGAAUUCAUGGUGUAGCGGUGAAAUGCGUAGAGAUCAUGAGGAAUACCAGUGGCGAAGGCGACUCUCUGGUUCGAGACUGACAUUGAGGUGCGAAAGCGUGGGUAGCAAACAGGAUUAGAUACCCUGGUAGUCCACGCCGUAAACGAUGAGAACUAGCCGUUGGAUCUUUAGAUUCAGUGGCGCAGCUAACGCAUUAAGUUCUCCGCCUGGG
rnacentral:rRNA from 1 species